rnacentral:lncRNA from 1 species
CUGUGCUUGGCACUACUGCUGUGAAAGAAAGUUUUGUUGUUGUUGUUCUUGGUACCGGGGAUCAAACUCUGGAUCUUGCACUUGUGAGAUUGGCGGCAGAACCACUGAGCUAAAUCCUGAGACCGAGAAGAAAUUCUUCUUAUCCAAGCCUCUUGCCACGUGUGAAGUAUAGAUGCCCUCUGCCUCCUCUGUCCC